rnacentral:rRNA from 1 species
AUUGAACGCUGGCGGCAGGCCUAACACAUGCAGGUCGAGAGGAGCGGCGGACGGGUGAGUAAUGCCUAUGAAUCUGCCUGGUAGUGGGGGAUACCGUCCGGUAAGGGGCGCUAAUACCGCAUACUAUCAGAUUAGCCUAGGUCGGAUUAGCUAGUGGGUGGGGUAAAGGCCUACCAAGGCGACGAUCCGUAACUGGUCUGAGAGGAUGAUCAGUCAAACUGGAAAUGAGAAAAGGUCCAGACUCCUACGGGAGGCAGCAGUGGGGAAUAUUGGACAACGGGCGAAAGCCUGAUGCAGCGAUGCCGCGCGUGUGAAGAAGUUAUUCGGAUUGCAAAGCACUUUAAGUUGGGAGGCGUUACCAUUAGAACAAGCACCGGCUAACUUCGUGCCAGCAGCCGCGGUAAUAC